UGGCUCAGCAUUUUGGAAAUAUCAACCAGUUAAGACUGCUUUCUCAGACAGAAAUAACAGGUCUUGUUUACAUUUUGACUCUUUCUGUAUUGAACACACAUGAACAUCCUCGAAUGUUGUGGAUAAUGUCUGUGUAAGUCACAGUGCUGAUGUAUUUGGAAGUGGAUUGUAUUUAACGUUUAGCGAACCUUUUGUGAAGGUUUUUUUAUGUUUGCGUAGGGUUUUUGUUUUUGUUUUAGGAUUUUGGGGGGUUUGGGUGUUUUUUUUUAAUUUUUAUUUUUUAGUAUGGUGAAAGUCUUUUCAUUUGCCUCUAAAUAUAUGAAAGGAAAUUGUGAAACUCCAGUUUAGUAUGGUAACUGUUAAAAACUUUUCUAUUAUCAUCUAUUUGACUGAAAAAUGUGUAUUUUUCUAAUUCAUAUUGAUGUAACAUUAGUCCUAAUUGAAGAACUAGUAUUUAAACUUACUAUUUAUAAAGAUAAAACAUCAAAAA
rnacentral:lncRNA from 1 species